AUACGGAGGGUGCAAGCGUUAAUCGGAAUUACUGGGCGUAAAGAGUACGUAGGUGGUUUGUUAAGUCAGAUGUGAAAGCCCCGGGCUCAACCUGGGAACUGCAUUUGAAACUGGCAAACUAGAGUAUGGUAGAGGGGGGUAGAAUUUCUAGUGUAGCGGUGAAAUGCGUAGAUAUUAGAAGGAAUACCAGUGGCGAAGGCGGCCCCCUGGACCAAUACUGACACUGAGGUACGAAAGCGUGGGUAGCGAACAGAAUUAGAUACCCUUGUAGUCC
rnacentral:rRNA from 1 species